rnacentral:rRNA from 1 species
UAUUGCGCAAUGGGCGAAAGCCUGACGCAGCAACGCCGCGUGGGGGAUGAAGGCCUUCGGGUUGUAAACCUCUUCCAGCAGGGAAGAAGCGAAAGUGACGGUACCUGCAGAAGAAGCACCGGCUAACUACGUGCCAGCAGCCGCGGUAAUACGUAGGGUGCAAGCGUUGUCCGGAUUUAUUGGGCGUAAAGAGCUCGUAGGCGGUUAGUCACGUCGGAUGUGAAAUCCCGGAGCUCAACUCCGGACCUGCAUUCGAUACGGGCUGACUCGAGUGUUGUAGGGGAGACUGGAACUCCUGGUGUAGCGGUGAAAUGCGCAGAUAUCAGGAAGAACACCGGUGGCGAAGGCGGGUCUCUGGGCAACUACUGACGCUGAGAGCGA